UGAAACCCAAACAAACAAAAAAAAGACUUCAAACCCUCCUCUCUUCAACACAACUUCACGUGAAUAGGAACUGCAAACCCCUUGCUUCAGCCUUGCUGCUACUGCUCACGCCGCCAACCACCGGCCACCCGCAACCACGCCGGACCGCCGCCGCCACCACGCAGCGCACGCAACCACCUCCACCACCUGGUCGCUGCGGGUGUACCCCCCUUGCUGCGCCGCUUUGUUUGCACCGUGCGUCAGCCAUCGUUGACGCCCUAUAGGCCAGCUUCCUCCUCCUCUUUUCUUGGUUCUUCUUUCGCACGCUACACCACCACGCUGCCACCAGCGCACCACCGUGUGCGACUCUUCCGUCCAGCCGUCCCUCAGCCGUGCCCCUGUCUGCCGGCAGCCUUGCCCUCUACUCUUUUUGGCGGAGAAUUCUCUUUAGGCGACUUUUGAAAGUGUUAAAGUGGCCUAUCAGUUUGUUUACACAAGUCUCUAAGGAUCAAUAAGCGUUGCCAUCUACAGGUUUGAAGAUGAUGCAUCAUGGGGAUCGGGAUUAAAGAGCUUGUAUUGAUUUUGUCUUGCUAUGUUAUUUGGGUUUUGUUAAUACUUUAAACUUGUCGUACUAUUUAUAUUUCCUUAUUUUCGUUGGUUGGUUUUUGGUAUUAAACCUGUAAUCGAUUAUUUAUAAACCUAAAGUUAGUUUUAUGUUUUCCGC